CCUACGUGAGGCAGCAGUGGGGAAUAUUGCACAAUGGGCGGAACCCUGAUGCAGCAACGCCGCGUGGGUGAAGACGUACUUCGGUAUGUAAAGCCCUGUCAGCAGGGAAGAAAAUGACGGUACCUGACCACGAAGCCCCGGCUCACUACGUGCCAGCAGCCGCGGUAAUACUUCGGGGGCAAGCGUUAUCCGGAAUUACUGGGUGUAAAGGGAGCGUAGACGGCAAGGCAGGUCUGGAGGGAAAGCGCGUGGCUCAACCACGGGACUGCUUUGGAAACUGGGUUGCUGGAGUGCAGGAGGGGUAUGCGGAAUGCCUAGUGUAGCGGUGAAAUGCGUAGAUAUCACGAAGAACCCCGAUUGCGAAGGCAGCUUACUAAACUGUGACUGACAUUGAUGCUCGAAAGUGUGGGUAUCAAACAGGAUUAGAUACCCCUGUAGUC
rnacentral:rRNA from 1 species